GACCAGGGAUAGCUCAGUCAGUAGAGCAUGAGACUCUGGAUCUCAGGGUUGUGGGUUCGAGUCCCACCUUGGGCG